AGCCCACUCCCCAUCAGAUUUUCAACACUACGAAAACCUAACAUUUUUUCGGGACUCUCGGAACUCGAAGAAAGAAAAUUGAAAAAAAAGAUACACACACACAGAACUAGAGAGAGCAGCCGCCACCCUCAACGAACUCCAGCAGCGGCGCCACCCAAUUUCACCGGGAACAGCCGCACCACCAACCCUCUUUCCGUCAUUAAUUCGCCGGAAACACACACAACAUCAGUAAUCUUUCUUCCUUUUAUUCAUACUCCAAUUUCUUCCAUAGCCACCUAAAGAACACUAGGUUGCUCCUUGGUCACUAAAAAAUUCAAGGCCAAGUACAAAGUAACGCCUCUUUCAGUCAUUUCUGCGAUUUCCUUUCCGGAAAAUUUUGUCGUUCUCGUUUGAAGUUCUGAUUAGCUCGAGAAUUCCGUUAGGGGUGUCCAUUCGCGGUUUGCAGUCUCCGCUCGAGGUUCGGGUGCCGUUCUUGCUUGCCGAUUUUAUUUUUCAAUCAAGGUCUUUGCAACGAAAGAAAGCUAGCUGCAAAUGGAGUUUUGCCCAGAUUGUUCAAUGUUACUGCAGUAUGAGUUGCCUCAUAUGGAUCGUCCAGCCAGAUUCUUUUGCCCUUCGUGCCCUUUUGUAUGUAACAUAGAGACCCGGCUUAAGCUGAAGAAAAAGCAAGCUUUGGUAAAGAAACAAAUGGAUCCAGUGAUUUCGACAGAUGACAUGGAGAAUGCUUCAACAGCUGAAGGUCUUAGCACUUUCUGUUCCUAUAGCUUCUUGGUAUUUUCAUGAUUUGCUGCCACUGCUUUCAUUCUUUGAUCUAAGAAUUAGUUGUUCGAUGAGCUAGUGUUGUCCUCUGACUAAUAGAAUAUGUCUUGACCAACUUUUCCUCAUCUAAAAUUAAUAACCAAAUUGUUGCUGAUUAUUUCGAAAAACCUCUGGAGUACUAAUAGUUAGAGAAGAAAGAUGUGCAUAUAUAAUAUUGAAUGUUUUAUGUUCUUGUAAUUGGUUGUCCAUUUGAGUUUAAUGGGCUUUAGAACAUAGGGUAUAACUAGCUCUUGACUCCUUGUUUUAUAAGGAUAAAGCAAAACUUAAAGUAUCAGUAAAUAUAGGCCCUUCCUCUAAGCACUUGUAAUGGAUUGAAUAUUCUGAUAGGAUUUUAUAUUACUGGAGUAAUAAUUAAUAUAAAAAAAUAAACUAAUACUUCAUAUAUUAUCAUUUGACAGCUGAUAUUUGUUGGUUGUGUGGUUGAAUGUCUCUGAAGUGCACUUUUGAUUCUUGCAAUCACAUUCUUUUUUAU